rnacentral:rRNA from 1 species
CUGGCGGCAGGCCUAACACAUGCAAGUCGAGCGCUACCUUCGGGUGGAGCGGCGGACGGGUUAGUAACGCGUGGGAACGUACCCAGAUCUAAGGAAUAGCCACUGGAAACGGUGAGUAAUACCUUAUACGCCCUUCGGGGGAAAGAUUUAUCGGAUUUGGAUCGGCCCGCGUUAGAUUAGAUAGUUGGUGGGGUAAUGGCCUACCAAGUCUACGAUCUAUAGCUGGUUUUAGAGGAUGAUCAGCAACACUGGGACUGAGACACGGCCCAGACUCCUACGGGAGGCAGCAGUGGGGAAUCUUGGACAAUGGGCGCAAGCCUGAUCCAGCCAUGCCGCGUGAGUGAUGAAGGCCUUAGGGUCGUAAAGCUCUUUCGCCAGAGAUGAUAAUGACAGUAUCUGGUAAAGAAACCCCGGCUAACUCCGUGCCAGCAGCCGCGGUAAUACGGAGGGGGUUAGCGUUGUUCGGAAUUACUGGGCGUAAAGCGUACGUAGGCGGAUUAGUCAGUCAGAGGUGAAAUCCCAGGGCUCAACCCUGGAACUGCCUUUGAUACUGCUAGUCUUGAGUUCGAGAGAGGUGAGUGGAAUUCCAAGUGUAGAGGUGAAAUUCGUAGAUAUUUGGAGGAACACCAGUGGCGAAGGCGGCUCACUGGCUCGAUACUGACGCUGAGGUACGAAAGUGUGGGGAGCAAACAGGAUUAGAUACCCUGGUAGUCCACACCGUAAACGAUGAAUGCCAGUCGUCGGGCAGUAUACUGUUCGGUGACACACCUAACGGAUUAAGCAUCCG